rnacentral:misc_RNA from 1 species
AUUUAGUCAUUCAGAAUGACUCAUUCUUUUAAAUUGGUCAGGAUAUAACCAACCACAACAUCAUAAUUAUUGGUUGAUUUGGUUGCGAAGUGAUAGGCCGGUUACGUACAUAUUUAUCAGUCUUGCUUCCCGGCCUCGACCAGUUAGCGGCUUUGAAGGCCGACAUUCCUCUAGAACUCCUAGGAUUCCAAGAUGCCGCCCAAAGAACUGGAAGGCAAAACUCUCGGAGAGAAGCAUCGAUAUUACAACAAACUUGUCAAA